CCGCUCCGCCGCCCUCGUAGCGCCGGGGCCGGGCCGAGCCGAGCCGGGCCGUGCCGUGCCGUGCCGUGCCGAGCCGACCGCGGGGGCCGAGCCGAACCAUGCCGUGCGGAUCCCGGGGGCCGAGCCGGGCCAUGCCGUGCGGACCGCGGGGACCGAGCCGAGCCAUGCCGUGCGGACCGCGGGGACCGAGCCGAGCCAUGCCGUGCGGACCGCGAGGGCCGAGCCGAGCCAUGCCGUGCGGACCGCGGGGGCCGAGCCGAGCCAUGCCGUGCGGACCGCGGGGGCCGAGCCGGGCCAUGCCGUGCGGAUCCCGGGAGCCGAGCCGGGCCAUGCCGUGCCGGGCUCUCCCAGCAGCGGCGCUGGGCCUGCGGGUCUUGGUGCUGAGCGCGGCGCUGGGAGCGGGGGCGGUCCGGGCUCAGCCGCCGCCCUUCCCUUUCUGGGACCCCUCGCUGCCCUGGCAGCGCCGCCUCGACGACCUGCUGAGCCGGCUGAGCCCCGCCGAGCUGGUGCUGCAGGUGGCGAGGGGGGGAGCGAUGGGGAACGGCCCCGCGCCCCCCAUCCCGCGGCUGGGCAUCGCGCCCUACAACUGGAACACGGAGUGUCUGCGGGGCGACGCCGAGGCGCCUGGAUGGGCCACGGCUUUCCCGCAGGCGUUGGGGCUUGCCGCCGCCUUCAGCCCAGAACUCAUCUACCGUGUGGCCAAUGCCACAGCCACCGAGGUGAGAGCCAAGCACAACAGCUUUGCUUCUGCUGGCCGCUACAGUGACCACACCGGGCUCAGCUGCUUCAGCCCUGUCCUGAACAUCAUGAGACACCCACUGUGGGGGAGGAACCAGGAGACCUAUGGGGAGGACCCGUUCCUGAGUGGGGAGCUGGCCCGCAGCUUUGUGCAGGGGCUGCAGGGCCAGCACCCCCGUUAUGUUAAGGCCAGCGCUGGCUGCAAACACUUCAGCGUGCACGGAGGCCCUGAGAACAUCCCCGUCUCCAGGCUAAGCUUCGAUGCCAAGGUGCUGGAGCGGGACUGGCGCAUGACCUUCCUGCCCCAGUUCCAGGCAUGUGUGCGUGCUGGCUCCUACAGCUUCAUGUGCAGCUACAACAGGAUCAACGGCGUUCCCGCUUGCGCCAACAAGAAGCUGCUGACGGACAUCCUGCGUGGCGAGUGGGGGUUUGAUGGGUACGUGGUGAGCGACGAGGGGGCUGUGGAGCUCAUCAUGCUAGGGCAUCACUACACACGCAGCUUCCUGGAGACAGCGGUUGCCUCGGUGAACGCUGGCUGCAACCUGGAGCUCUCCUAUGGCAUGAGGAACAAUGUCUUCAUGCACAUCCCUCAGGCUCUGGCCAUGGGCAACAUCACGCUGCAGAUGCUGCGUGACCGAGUCCGGCCUCUCUUCUACACACGCAUGCGUCUGGGGGAGUUUGACCCCCCAGCCAUGAACCCCUACAGCUCCCUGGACCUGAGUGUGGUGCAGAGCCCCGAGCACCGCAACCUCUCACUGGAAGCUGCUGUCAAGAGCUUUGUGCUGCUGAAGAAUGUGCGGGGGACAUUGCCCCUGAGGGCCCAGGACUUGUCCAGCCAGCACCUCGCGGUUGUGGGUCCCUUUGCUGACAAUCCCCGGGUACUAUUUGGGGACUAUGCACCGGUGCCAGAGCCUCAGUACAUCUACACUCCCCGGAGAGGGCUGGAGAUGCUGGGGGCCAAUGUCAGCUUUGCAGCGGGCUGCAGCGAGCCACGGUGCCAGCGGUACACCCGGGCAGAACUGGUGAAGGCCGUGGGGGCAGCUGACGUGGUGCUGGUCUGCCUGGGGACAGGGGUAGAUGUGGAGACAGAGGCAAAAGACCGGAGUGACCUAUCCCUGCCGGGGCACCAGCUGGAGCUGCUGCAGGAUGCCGUGCAGGCGGCCACUGGGCGCCCCGUCAUUCUGCUGCUGUUCAACGCGGGGCCCCUGGAUGUGAGCUGGGCACAGGCACAUGACGGCGUGGGGGCCAUCCUGGCCUGCUUCUUCCCUGCCCAGGCCACCGGCUUGGCCAUUGCCAGGGUCCUGCUGGGAGAGGUGGGGGCCAGCCCGGCUGGCCGGCUGCCGGCCACUUGGCCUGCAGGCAUGCACCAGGUGCCACCAAUGGAGAACUACACCAUGGAGGGACGGACAUACCGGUACUAUGGGCAGGAGGCCCCGCUCUACCCUUUUGGGUAUGGACUGUCCUACACCACCUUCCGCUAUCGGGACCUGGUGCUCAGCCCCCCAGUGCUGCCCGUCUGUGCCAACCUCUCUGUGUCUGUGGUGCUGGAGAACACAGGGCUGCGGGACAGCGAGGAGGUGGUGCAGCUGUACCUGCGCUGGGAGCAGUCAUCCGUGCCGGUGCCCCGCUGGCAGUUGGUGGCUUUCCGCCGUGUGGCCGUGCUGGCCGGCCGGGAGGCCAAGCUGUCCUUCCAGGUGCUGGCCGAGCAGCGUGCGGUCUGGGCACAGGACUGGCACCUGGAGCCUGGCACCUUCACCCUCUUCGCCGGUGGGCAGCAGCCAGGCCAGAAGACGCGGGCGCCCUCGGAGGUGCUGAGCGCGCGGUUCAGCGUCACCGGCACGGCCCGGCCCUUACGCGCGUGUUAGCGGCGGGGGUGGGCACGGGGUGCUGGCAGAGGGAAAGGAUGCGAGGUACCCCAUGUGCCACGGGCACUGUGGUGGUUCUCUGCCCUGCAAUAAAGUGCUGGUGCUCCAUGGCA
ensembl:lncRNA